UACGGAGGGGGCUAGCGUUGUUCGGAAUUACUGGGCGUAAAGCGCGCGUAGGCGGACCUGCAAGUCGGGGGUGAAAGCCCGAGGCUCAACCUCGGAACUGCCUUCGAUACUGCGGGUCUCGAGUCCGGGAGAGGUGAGUGGAAUUCCUAGUGUAGAGGUGAAAUUCGUAGAUAUUUAGGAAGAGCACCAGUGGCGAAGGCGGCUCACUGGCCCGGGUACUGACGCUGAGGUGCGAAAGCGUGGGGAGCAAACAGG
rnacentral:rRNA from 1 species